rnacentral:tRNA from 1 species
GCCCUGGUGGUCUAGCGGUAUGAUUCUUCCUUAGGGUUAUUGCAAGAUACACCCACUUGGAAGAGGUCCCAGGUUCGAUCCCUGGCCAGGGCC